rnacentral:rRNA from 1 species
GACGAACGCUGGCGGCGUGCUUAACACAUGCAAGUCGAACGGAAAGGCCCUGCUUUUGUGGGGUGCUCGAGUGGCGAACGGGUGAGUAACACGUGAGUAACCUGCCCUUGACUUUGGGAUAACUUCAGGAAACUGGGGCUAAUACCGGAUAGGAGCUCCUGCUGCAUGGUGGGGGUUGGAAAGUUUCGGCGGUUGGGGAUGGACUCGCGGCUUAUCAGCUUGUUGGUGGGGUAGUGGCUUACCAAGGCUUUGACGGGUAGCCGGCCUGGGAGGGUGACCGGCCACAUUGGGACUGAGAUACGGCCCAGACUCCUACGGGAGGCAGCAGGGGGGAAUAUUGCACAGUGGGCGGAAGCCUGAUGCAGCAACGCCGCGUGCGGGAUGACGGCCUUCGGGUUGUAAACCGCUUUCGCCUGUGACGAAGCGUGAGUGACGGUAAUGGGUAAAGAAGCACCGGCUAACUACGUG